AUCUCCUUUGUAAACACCUAAAUGCCAAGUCUGGACUUCAAAAACAGAUUCUGAAAGUUAAACCAGCAUUAUGGACAAAAAGUAUACACUUCGAACAGACACAAAAACAUAUAGGUCCAUGCCAAGCUAUGAAAGAUUUAUGCUGAGGUGUAUAACAAUGUAGACUUAGUUUACCAAAUAAUUAAGAAAAUGUUGACAAAGCACCACAGCCCAGGAGUGAAUCAACACUGGCACUUUAUAUCAAAAUGC